GAUGAACGCUAGCGGCAGGCCUAAUACAUGCAAGCUGAACGGUAAAUAUUGUAGCAAUACGAUAUGAGAGUAGCGUAAGGGUGCGUAACACGUAUGCAAUCUGCCCGCAACAGGAGGAUAGCUCCCCGAAAGGGGAAUUAAUACUCCAUAAUAUCACGAGAGGGCAUCUGAUUGUGAUUAAACUCCAAGGGGUUGCGGAUGAGCAUGCGUCUGAUUAGUUAGUUGGUUAGGUAACGGCUCACCAGGACGAUGAUCAGUAGGGGAACUGAGAGGUUGAUCCCCCACACUGGCACUGAGAUACGGGCCAGACUCCUACGGGAGGCAGCAGUAGGGAAUAUUGGUCAAUGGGUGAAAGCCUGAACCAGCCAUGCCGCGUGCAGGAAGACGGCCUUCUGGGUUGUAAACUGCUUUUGCCAGGGGAUAAAAUACCCAUUCGUGGGGAAUUGAAGGUACCUGGUGAAUAAGCCACGGCUAACUACGUGCCAGCAGCCGCCGUAAUAC
rnacentral:rRNA from 1 species